rnacentral:rRNA from 1 species
UGGGGAAUUUUGGACAAUGGGCGAAAGCCUGAUCCAGCAAUGCCGCGUGUGUGAAGAAGGCCUUCGGGUUGUAAAGCACUUUUGUCCGGAAAGAAAUCCUUGGCUCUAAUACAGUCGGGGGGAUGACGGUACCGGAAGAAUAAGCACCGGCUAACUACGUGCCAGCAGCCGCGGUAAUACGUAGGGUGCAAGCGUUAAUCGGAAUUACUGGGCGUAAGCGUGCGCAGGCGGUUUGCUAAGACCGAUGUGAAAUCCCCGGGCUCAACCUGGGAACUGCAUUGGUGACUGGCAGGCUAGAGUAUGGCAGAGGGGGGUAGAAUUCCACGUGUAGCAGUGAAAUGCGUAGAGAUGUGGAGGAAUACCGAUGGCGAAGGCAGCCCCCUGGGGCCAAUACUGACGCUCAUGCACGAAAGCGUGGGGAGCAAACAGGAUUAGAUACCCCUGGUAGUCCACGCCCUAAACGAUGUCAACUGUUGUUGGGGAUUCAUUCCUUAGUAACGUAGCUAACGCGUGAAGUUGACCGCCUGGGGAGUACGGUCGCAAGAUUAAAACUCAAAGGAAUUG